GAUGAACGCUGGCGGCGUGCCUAAUACAUGCAAGUCGAGCGAACAGACGAGGAGCUUGCUCCUCUGACGUUAGCGGCGGACGGGUGAGUAACACGUGGAUAACCUACCUAUAAGACUGGGAUAACUUCGGGAAACCGGAGCUAAUACCGGAUAAUAUAUUGUACCGCAUGGUUCAAUAGUGAAAGACGGUUUUGCUGUCACUUAUAGAUGGAUCCGCGCCGCAUUAGCUAGUUGGUAAGGUAACGGCUUACCAAGGCAACGAUGCGUAGCCGACCUGAGAGGAUGAUCGGCCACACUGGAACUGAGACACGGUCCAGACUCCUACGGGAGGCAGCAGUAGGGAAUCUUCGACAAUGGGCGAAAGCCUGACGGAGCAACACCGCGUGAGUGAUGAAGGUCUUCGGAUCGUAAAGCUCUGUUGUUAGGGAAGAACAGAUGUGGAAGUAACUAUGGACGUCUUGACGGUACCUAAACAGAAAGCAACGGCUAACUUCGUG
rnacentral:rRNA from 1 species